GGGGGUGGAGUCCUCCAGGCCAUAUCAACUUUGUCAACCUCGUAUUUAUUGCGAGUUGGUGAGCCAGAAAUAAGCGAUAAGCGGAAUAUAUUUUACAGGCUCGCUCACACUCGUCAGGAUGGAAUUCAAGCACACAGCCACUUGCUCAAAGUGGACCAGGGAAGACUGAAGCUCACUUGUGACCCCAAUAAAGACAAGCGCUAUGGAAAAUUGCUGUUUAUUCAAAGGCUGAGAAUCUCAAAGUUUGGAUGCCAAAUGAACAAAGAAUAAAUGACCUUCAGGGCUGAGCGAUGACGAGCUGCAGCCAAUCCAGAGGAGGAUUACCGGAGAAUGUGACGCCACUACAAAUAUCAGGUUGAAGGAACAUCACACUCACGGCCACUGAAAGAAGGUGGGCCGGAGCCAACAUUCAAACCCCAGAACUGUGAAGCAGAAAUGCUAACCACCAGGUCCAUGUCCUCAUCAGUCAUACAAAAGAGAAUUUGGAGUGGUCCAUUGGCCAACCAUGCAUGUUGAGAGGAAACCAGAGUGCCUGGAGGAAACUCACGCAGGCACGGGGGCAACAUACAAACUCCACACAGGAAGACCAGAGCCAAAACUCCAAACAGUGCACCAAUCAGAAUAUAUCAUUUAAAACUAUAACAAGUGGAGGACAAAGGUUGUGUAUCAUGUGAUGACUUUCUUUUGUGUGCAGAGUCACAGUGGAUACGUUCUGGGUUUGAAUCUCAGCUCAGGAACUUCCUAUAUGGAGUUUCCAUGUCCUGCUGGUACUCAGGCUUCUUCUCACAUCAGGACACUCGGCAUGUGCUCAGGGCCAUGCAGUCAGCGAUGGUGUAAUUGUACUACCAGAAGGUUCUACACACAUCACCGGCUAAUGAGAAUCCCAAACACAUUUGGAGUCAUCUGGUGAAGGGAAUGACGACUUAACAACCUCCUCCCGCUUCUGACUACUCGGAUCACAUGUCAAUCACAUCUCAUAUGAUCUCCGCUUCAACGCAAUGAUGCAAAGUGCAAGUGACAAACCGGGCCUCGGAGGGACAAAUGAGUUCGGUGUGGCGCUGAAUUAAUCAAUGUUGACAAGAGCAGAAGUCCCUGAGCUGUUUCCCGUGACGACGCAUCGUCGGCCUCACCUCCUAAUUGCUCUUGUGUGGCUAUCAUUAAUUAAAAACAAAACAUUAAAGGUAGAGCAGAACCAUUUCAGCGGUUGAUUUUUCAAAAUGUUGUGGGUAUUUGUAGCUUGAGAUGAUUGAUGGGACUUAUCUGGAAAAAAUAAUGGUGGCAGAAAUCAUUUACGUAUAUGUUAUUUAACAAACUUUCAGUAGCUACUGUUAUUGAUAUAGACUUAUUGCUCAGGGAAGUUUGAGAGGUAAAAUAAUAUUUGUUAGGUACUGAUCUGAUGAGAUUUUCAUGUUAAAUUACACUUGGGAUGUAAACCCUUUGCAGUUAAUUGUAUAAUGUAUUGUGGUUUGUCCAGCCUGGAUUUGUAGCGCCGGCGCUUGACCUCGGUUCUCUUCUGUCAGUUCUCAUCAGAAGACAAAAGGUUUCUUGUUUAAAUGUCACGUUUAAAUAUUCCCCAAUGCAUUUGAAAAAGAGAGUGAGGUGAAUUGUGUACCAGGAAGGAAAAGAUUUAAAUCACUGCCAAACGUGACAUAAAUUGGGUUUGACCCCGUUACUAGUCGCAAUAGCAACUUUUGAGAUGUUUGUGUCCAUUUUAAACAAUCAUUGAAGAGAACUAAGUAACCGUAUAUUAAACCCUAGUUUAAAACCCUAACCAUAGUUUGAAGCCCUAGUUUAAAACUCUAACCCUAGUUUGAAACCCAAGUUUGAAACCCUAAUCCUAGUUUGAAACCCUAACCUUAGUUUGAAACCCUAGUUGAAAACCUUAACCCUAGUUUGAAACCCUAACCCUAGUUUUUACCAUUGCCACUUAAAAAAUAAACAAAAUGCAAACCACACUUGUUUAGAUUUUCAUACGACAUUACACCUGUUGCGCACGCACCAUUUUUACAUAACUGUUAACCUCCAUCCACACCGUACAUCUGUCGAGGCGUUCGAGAAUGAUAGUUGCACUGUGUAAUUCAGAAAACUGCAUUGAAAAACAAGAAACAUGACCUCUUUUGCGUAGAUAAAUAAGAAUAUCGUGCAGCCAUGUUUGCUUUUAAGAAAGGACAAAAAGUCAAAGAAACACGUAGUGAACUUCUGUAAUUUUACAGUGUGACUUACGAUCCGUCUCUACGUAGGCGUCUACCGAGAGGCCUCCUGACUUCAUGCUGUUUGCAUUAGACGCCACAUGUUUGGAGAAAACGCAGUGAAUCUCAAAAUGAAAGGUAAUAUCCCGCUGACCUUUUCAACGGGACCUAUCUACAUUAUUCAAGCGAGACGCAGCGAACACAUUUGAUGCGGAAUCGGCUAAACGACACGCCGAGUCAUCUUUUAUUCAUGCGGCUGCUCCCUAAGCUGCGGCUACCGUAGACAAAUGUUGCAACCUGUUUGUGGGUGAUGCUGAAAUGGAAGUGCACUUUGAAAUGAUAGACAUAAUGAUACUAAUCAUAUUAGCAUAAAUUGUGUUUAAAAGAAAUAAAUUGAGUUCUAUCAGCAGUGAAUGGUCUUGGAGGUUUGAUGGGAUUUCUUAGAUAAACUUGACACAAUUACAGAGUACAUUGAGUAAAGAAAUAAAAGUGAAAUAAAAUAAAAGUUGAAUAAAAGUUUUCAAAAUAUUUAAAACACCUUAAUUAAAGGAAUGCAAAAAAGGUUUUAACCUGGAUUUAGAAUCAUUUAGUAAACUGCAGACUGGGUGUUUCUUGAAAGUAUUCAGGACCCAAAC